UGGCUUUAUGAUGUAAAUAUCAUAAAUUGUUUCUUUAUAGAGAAAUUACAAUGUUCUCUUCACAAAAAAAUUUGGUGCAGCCAUGAUUGUACAUUUUGUGUAAGGCUGGCAAAUGCUAACUCAAGCAAGAACCUUCUCAACUUCUGCCAUGGAAGAAACAACUCAGCAAUUUCUUUUGCAGUCAUGAAUAUAAUCUAAGUUAGAUAAGUUUUGCAUCCAG
rnacentral:misc_RNA from 1 species